UCAGCUAACCGAAAAUUAUAAUAAAAUUCGAAUAAAAAACAUCAUUUAUACACUCUCAAGUUCAAAAUAUGACCAAAUUCGAACACAAAAUAUGAUUCAAACUUCAAAAUGGCAUAUCAGAACUCUCUUACUAGUAAUUAGGAUAUUCCAUCAUCACCUUCUUCUCUUCUAUGUUUCUAAAGGUCGGUUCUUCAAUCUUCAUUCCCCUGAUCCGAAAUUGAGAUUGUAAACAAUGUUAUCAUUCCCAUCAUCAGUCUCUUUAAGUAUUUCAAAGGUUGGCUGGUUACCUGGUAGAGCUAUGGGCUAAGGAGGGACCCGACGCGGGUUGCACCCUUGAACCAAACAGCCUUAAAUAUAUUCCAUCAUCAUCAUCAUCAGCAUCAUCAUCAUUAUCACCACCUUCCUCCAUCUCUCUCUCUAUAUUUUGUCCAAAGAGGUUUCAUUGUUUUUUCUCUUUGACAUUCCAAACCCCAAUAGGGCCAUGAACAUGGACUUAGACCACAACAACAACCACCUUCCGUUUUCCAAUCCAACAAUCAUCCCCAAAUCCUCCCCUUCAACCUCCGACACCGAUACCGAAGCCCCACCACCACCACCUCCGCCGCCCCCUCCAGCCCCACCCCUAAAAUGCCCUCCUCCCCCCCCCCCCCCCCCCCCCCCCCCCCCCCCCCCCCCCCCCCCCCCCCCCCCCCCCCCCCCCCCCCCCCCCCCCCCCCCCCCCCCCCCCCCCCCCCCCCCCCCCCCCCCCCCCCCCCCCCCCCCCCCCCCCCCCCCCCCCCCCCCCCCCCCCCCCCCCCCCCCCCCCCCCCCCCCCCCCCCCCCCCCCCCCCCCCCCCCCCCCCCCCCCCCCCCCCCCCCCCCCCCCCCCCCCCCCGCCCCCCCCCCCCCCCCCCCCCCCCCCCCCCCCCCCCCCCCCCCCCCCCCCCCCCGCAGCCCCCUCUCCCCCCCCCCCCCCC
rnacentral:lncRNA from 1 species